rnacentral:hammerhead_ribozyme from 1 species
GUCCAGUUGACGAGUCCAAAAUAGGACGAAACGCGCAUUCUGGAU